UUGGAGGAUGUUGGAUCUGAAUCCACUAACAAUCCCAGAGACAAGUGGGAUGAAAGGGUGGAGGACAGGACGACUACUGUCCAUGUGCAAGGUAACUGCCUCAGGUUGAGCUUCAGCUGCUUCCCACCUCCCUGGGAGACUCCUCCAAGACCAGCAGCCCCCUCAUGGCAGGAAAUGGACCGUAUCUAAACUGGCAUGCUUGGACCGCCCCUUUUCUACACCUGUUGAUUCUCAUCCACCACAGGAAAGGUAGGUCUUUUUUUGUUGUUGGUUUUUUU